CUCCACGGCCUGCAGGCUGCGUGCUCACGCCACCACUGCGCUUCAGCUAUGGCGCAGGAGACAAUAUAUGGAAUGCACCUGGCGUAUAAGUAGCUGAAUAUAUGUUAGUUUUUUCCUUCUCCCCAGGUGUAGGGAUUCCUGGAGGUAAAAACAAUACCAAUAUGGCUGGCCUAACCCUGAUAACAAACUGACCCCUAACCUAAGCCACAGACUCCCUUCCUAACCUACUGGCCUACAGGACUAACUCUAGCCCCAGACAGAGCUGAGAUCCUAGGGUCAUGUCCUCCACAGACCUGUUCUGAAGUGACAGCUGCCACCCAGCUCUCAAGAUCACACUGCGUUCCCUCCGCCCACCAGAGCUCUGUUAGGGUCUGCCCCUGCCCAGCCCACAGUGCUGACGCCAAGGGGACUUACUCAUAGCCCCAAACUCCUCCACCUCAGCCUCAGGCCGUUCUGACAGUUGGAGCUCAGAAGCCUCAGCCCAACUGACUCCUGGUUGCCAAGCAAGUUGCCAUGGAUGCGAGGCAACCGCUGUAGACUGAGUGUAUUGAGCAUGUGCACAGGGGUGGCAGGGGGCCUUGGGAGGCAGGGGCAGGGUGAGGGAGGAGAGGGUUUCUCUUGGAAGAGGGGGAGAAAGGGCAUUGAAGAGAAAGUCACUGCAGCCUCAGUUCCCCAGAGCUCAGACUUUCUCACUGCUGGAAGAGGCAGUCAUGUUCCCAUUUUCAUUCGCAGACCCAUGUGAUUAGGAGAAGUUGACCACACCCCCGACUCCACAGCCAGAAGGCCAUCAGCACAUUCCAUUCCCCUGCUCUGCUCCCGGGAUUUGGUUCAGAAUGGACAUGUUUCCAAGCCUCUCCAAUCAGAAUAAAUCUCAAAACUUUUGUUGGGAAUUCUGAAUUAUAGACCUUAUCUUUCCUUCUAUACAUAAAUAAGAAAGAAAAUUGUUCUAGAGGCUUCUGGCUGCCUUUUGGGAAUACUGAAGCUAUUCCUAGAGAAAAGGGAGAAAAGACCAAAACAAAACAGGUUCUUCGUGACAUUGUUGAGACCUGACUGAAGGUAGCCCUAUUGCUAGAUGCUUCAGUUAUGUGAGAC
rnacentral:lncRNA from 1 species